UUAAGAGUGCUAGAUGAUGAAUAGGGUUGUUUUAGGUUCAAUUAAUAGAGGUUUUCUCUCUCUUAUU
rnacentral:tRNA from 1 species